ensembl:lncRNA
UUUCAUUUAGGUUAUCAAAUAUCUUUUGGCUGUUAGGAUUUAUAGCUGUGACAUCCAUCAUGAUGAUUCAAAGAGCCUAAUCAUCCAAUAAAACAUGCAGAAAAGUUUACAUGGAUGAUGUUUAUCUGAAUUAUUUGCUCAAGAGACAGAUAACUGUUUGGGACCUUGGAGGUAGAGCAAUGGAGGAAUUCACUUCUCACAGUGGUAUUAACUGUAAUACGGUUGUAUUGACUGCAGAAUGAGCCGAUAGCAAGGAAGCAGCCCAUCAGGAAAAGCUUAAGAUAAUUUUUGAUGUCAGCAAAAAUGUGAGAAUCAUCCACAGAACUCAGAGCUGUUUUUCUCCCAAUAAAACAUAAAAUGUAGCAGUUUUGGUAGCACUGGAAUCAUAAGGAAAGAAAGGUGCUAUGAAUGAUAAAUGAAAAGC